CUUUUUUUAAUCCAUCAAUAGUUUAUAUACAAAGGUUCAUGGUAACAAGUAAUUUUAUAUAUACUGUUUAGGCUAUGCAACGUGUUGAGGUAAAAAUAUCAUACCACUCGAUGAAAACCAAGUAUCGUCAUAAAAAAAAUGCAAUUGUUGCCUAUGAGGAGAAAUCAUGGAAAAUCACUGAAAUAUAAACUCUUGAUUGCUGCUAUUAUGUAUCAAUGCCUCAAAUCUAUAAACAAGGUCCCAACAGAAAUCUGAUGAAACAUAGAUUUCUAUUAUAGGAAUAUGUAAACCUGUCUUAUGUAUACAUAUAUAUGCAAAUGAGUUCUGUGGCUAGGCUGACAUCCCGUCAGAACUAAUCCUAUUCAUCCUAUGCUUAGGACAAUAUCAAUUGGCUAUCUACCUGAGAAACUUGC
rnacentral:lncRNA from 1 species